AAUAGAUACCCCGGUAGUCCACCCCGUAAACGUUGGGAACUAGUUGUGGGGUCCUUUCCACGGAUUCCGUGACGCAGCUAACGCAUUAAGUUCCCCGCCUGGGGAGUACGGCCGCAAGGCUAAAACUCAAAGGAAUUGACGGGGACCCGCACAAGCGGCGGAGCAUGCGGAUUAAUUCGAUGCAACGCGAAGAACCUUACCAAGGCUUGACAUACACCAGAACACCCUAGAAAUAGGGGACUCUUUGGACACUGGUGAACAGGUGGUGCAUGGUUGUCGUCAGCUCGUGUCGUGAGAUGUUGGGUUAAGUCCCGCAACGAGCGCAACCCUCGUUCUAUGUUGCCAGCGCGUAAUGGUGGGAACUCAUGGGAUACUGCCGGGGUCAACUCGGAGGAAGGUGGGGAUGACGUCAAAUCAUCAUGCCCCUUAUGUCUUGGGCUUCACGCAUGCUACAAUGGCCGGUACAAAGGGCUGCAAUACCGUGAGGUGGAGCGAAUCCCAAAAAGCCGGUCCCAGUUCGGAUUGAGGUCUGCAACUCGACCUCA
rnacentral:rRNA from 1 species